CCUACGGGAGGCAGCAGUGAGGAAUAUUGGUCAAUGGGCGCGAGCCUGAACCAGCCAAGUAGCGUGAAGGAUGACUGCCCUACGGGUUGUAAACUUCUUUUAUAAAGGAAUAAAGUGAGGCACGUGUGCCUUUUUGUAUGUACUUUAUGAAUAAGGAUCGGCUAACUCCGUGCCAGCAGCCGCGGUAAUACGGAGGAUCCGAGCGUUAUCCGGAUUUAUUGGGUUUAAAGGGAGCGUAGAUGGGUUUUUAAGUCAGUUGUGAAAGUUUGCGGCUCAACCGUAAAGUUGCAAUUGAUAAUGGCAGUAUGGAGUUGAAGUGAGGUAGGCGGAAGUCGGGGUGUGGAGGUGAAAUGCAUAGAUAUGGGGAAGAACUCCGAGUGAGAAGGCAGCUUGCAAACCUGACACUGACGGUGAUGCUCGAAAGUGUGGGUAUCGAACAGGAUUAGAGACCCGAGUAGUC
rnacentral:rRNA from 1 species